GUAGGCGACGGGGCAGGGUGGGGUGGAAGACGAGGGGGGGAGGGGUGGUCCGGAAUUGUUGGGCGGGAAGAGCGCGUAGGGGGGUCGUUGCGUCUGCUGGGAAAACCCGGGGCUUAACCCUGGGCUGGCAGUGGAGACGGACAGACUAGAGGUAGGUAGGGGAGAAUGGAAUUCCCGGUGUAGCGGUGAAAUGCGCAGAUAUCGGGAGGAACACCGGUGGCGAAGGCGGUUCUCUGGGCCUUACCUGACGCUGAGGAGCGAAAGCGUGGGGAGCGAACAGGAUUAGAUACCCGGGUAGUC
rnacentral:rRNA from 1 species